AUGCAGAUCUCUGAGUUUAAGGUCAACCUGGUCUACAGAGCAAGUUCCAGAACAGCCAAGCUUAGGCAGUGAAGGAAACCAUUGAAAACAGAAAGUUGGUCAAGAUGUAAUUGAAAAAGGUGGCCAUGUUCCAGCCUGAGCAAGCACAGAACUUGGCAGCUUCGGCCACAUGGCUCUGGCUUUAGAGUCAAAGAUAGAAGAAAGAGGUUAUGGAUUUGCCCUCCGAGACUAAGCAAAGUUGCUGAGGCCAGUUGUGUGGCAGGGGUGUCCCUGCGUGGAGGCCCAGAGAAGCCAUUAUGUGAAGCUGUGAAGGUGAAGCCUGGACUGCCUUGGAGACCCCAAGAUGUUGGAUAUGCCAGAGCUGUGGGAUACCAGACAAGGAAAGCUUUUGACAGGGAGUGGAGCCAGGCCAAGAGAAAGAAGUGUGUUGUAAUCAACAAAGAUGAAACAAGUUGGAAUCUGAAGAGCGUUUUGACAUCAGACCUGGAGUUGCAGAGUUUAGAGUUUGUCCGUCUGAUUUUGGUCUUGCUUUUAUCCAGUGUUUCCUUACUAUGCUCCCUUUCCUCCAUUUGGAACGGUAAUGUAUACCCUGUGCCACUGUAUGUUAGAAGUAUGUGAUCGGCUUUUUUUGUUUUGAUUUUAUAGAGAUUUACGGUUAACAGACUGCUUGAGGCUCCAAAGAGGCUUUGAACUUUGGACUUUUAAACAAACUGGGACUUUUACAGACUAUGGAGACUUUUAAACUUGGACUAAAUGCAGUUUGCACUGUGAUACAGCUACAAGCCUACGGAGCCCAGGGAGUGGAAUGAGGUGUGUGGACCAGCAGUGGGAUACAGCUUUAAAAUCCAGACUUCCAAGCUGGGCACGGUGGUGCACAUCUGUGAUCCCAGCACUCAGGGAGGCCGAGGCAGGUGGAUCUCUGUGAGUUUGAGGUCAGCUGGACUAUAAGAUGGAGUCCAGGACAGCCAAGUCUACACAGAGAAAACCUGCCUUGAAAAAUAAAUAAACAAACAAUUAAAAUCUA